GGUCUCCCCUGCUGACACCUAGCAGCUGACUUAGAACGGGUGGGGACCAUGGGAAUCCCACUGUUUAAUUAAAACAAAUCAUCCUGAAGGCCCACAGGAUGGGGCGGUGUCG